GUGGUUUAAUUCGAAGCAACGCGCAGAACCUUACCAACCCUUGACAUCCUGUGCCACACGGAGAGAUCCGUGGUUCCCUUCGGGGACGCAGUGACAGGUGCUGCAUGGCUGUCGUCAGCUCGUGUCGUGAGAUGUUCGGUUAAGUCCGGCAACGAGCGCAACCCACAUCCUUAGUUGCCAGCAGUUCGGCUGGGCACUCUAGGGAAACUGCCCGUGAUAAGCGGGAGGAAGGUGUGGAUGACGUCAAGUCCUCAUGGCCCUUACGGGUUGGG
rnacentral:rRNA from 1 species